rnacentral:rRNA from 1 species
AGUUUAAAUUUAAUUAAAGAAUAAAAUUGUUUUAUUAUACCUUUUGCAUAAGGAUUAAUAGAUAAAAUUUUUAUUAAAUUAUUUGAAUUUUACUAAUCUAACAUAUAAUUAAAAAUGUUGAAAAAUUUUAUGUUAAAAGUUAGAUGCUGAGAAGUAGAGGAUAAAUAAAUCAAUAUAAAAGAAUUUUAAGAAUUAAUUUGAUUUUUGUAAUUAUUUUUAAUAUAAAUCUUUAGAAUUAUGUUUGUUUAAAUAAUAUUAAAUAUAAUAAUUUUAAAUAGUCAAGUUGAUUUAUUUUAUAAAUUAAUAAAAUUAUUAAAUUAGUAGAUAAAAAUUGAAAAAUAAUUUUAUUAUAAAAAUAGAUUAAAUUUAAUUUGUUUAUUAAAUUUACUUGUAAAAAGUUUAUCAAAAGCUUAGGUUUAUAAUUUAAUCUGAUUUCUGCCCUAUGAAUUUUAAAUGGCCGUGGUAUUUUGACCAUGCGAAGGUAGCAAAAUCAUUAGUGUUUUAAUUGAAGGCUGGAAUGAAUGGAUUAAUUACUAGUAAAGUUACAAUUUAUAUAAAUUGAAUUUAAAUUAAUAGUGAAAAUUCUAUUAGAUUUUGUAAGACGAGAAGACCCUAAAAUUUUAUUUUAAUUAUUUAAGAAGAAAAAAUUAAAAUUUAAUUGGGGUAAUUAUUUGAAAUUACAAAUAAAUUUUUAUGAAAGAACUAAUUUUUUAGUGUUUGAUAAAAUACUUUAGGGAUAACAGCGUAAUUAAUUUAUUUAGAUCUUAUAUAUAAAUUAGAUUGCGACCUCGAUGUUGGUUUAAAAGAUCUUUUUAGUGCAGUAGCUAAAAAAGAAAGUCUGUUCGACUUUUAAAAUUUUACUUGAACUGAGUUCAAAUCGGUGUAAGCCAGAUUGGUUUUUAUCUACAAAUUAUUUUAAUUAUAUUAGUACGAAAGGAUUUUAUAAUUUAAAAGAUUUAAACUUAAGGAAGUUUUAGAACUUAAAAAUAAAAUAAAAAUCAAUAGAUUAAU